CAACUUCUCAACCUCAUCAAAUUUGAUGUGGCUUGGAUGGUGGGGGUUUCCUUUUUUGCAGGCUUCUGUAAAUCUGAAGUCGGCUCCCCUGAAAUGUAUUAGUGGUAUCUGAAGCAGAAGAAACUACUAUAGGUGUGAUAGUUAUCUACGCCUUGGUAUGCUGCAUGAACAGAUUGCACCGCUUCUAACGAGUGGAAACACAAUUUGAUGA
rnacentral:misc_RNA from 1 species